UGUCAUUUAUCACGGUAGGGUCUAGAACCGAUUAACCGCGAUAAACGAGGGUUCACUGUAUAUGGAAUCAAAACUAUAUAGGAACCAUAGGAGGCAUUGAGCUUACGUUAGUAAGGGUAAGAAUGGUUGCACAACUAGAACAUAAUCAGGGCCAAUACAUUGUACAUGUAGAAACUUGAAUUAGUGUGUAUUCUCAAGAGGAGGCUUUCUGUGUGUCAGCUUUGGAAGAAAGACUUUGUCUCUUGAACUUUGCCACCUGGUUGAUCAUAUGGCAUGGCCUCUCCCUAUCUCCUUACAUGCUUGACUGCUCUCUUAACAUCAAGAGAUUGACACUGUACACUAAUCCUGCCAAAUAAAUUAAUAAAUACAAUCACUUCCAAAUGGGAUUAUAGUCUGGUUAGUGACUUGCAAUAAGUCACUUUCCUUCCUACGAGCUCUGGUGGUGGUGCGGUUGGUUACGUGUCGGUCUGUGAUCCGCGUGGUCUGCACGUUGAAAGCACCAGCAGCUCCUUGGGAGAAGGACUGGACUCGUAAACUCCUGUAAACAGCAUCUCGGGGACCCACAGGCCAUCACUGAGAGUCAGCAUUGACUGAUGGCAGUGAGUUCUGAACACUUAUCUUCCUGAGUCUUUUAUUUUCAUAACUGGAAGGUGGUGGUGGUGAUAAUGUACACCUCAUAUUGGUUGACUAACUGGAGGAUAAAUCCUAAAUAUAGCUUUAGGAUUUCAGGUCACAUGCACAGCUUAUUGCUAACAAAAAGUACAUAAGCGUGUCGAGUCACUGCAUGACUGCAAACAGAUUCAGUAAUAUGCUUGUUUUCAUCUUUUUAGGUGCCUUCAAAAGAAAAGGUUAUUUUUUGAGCUCUGGAAAAAAAUAUAUUGAGGUCAGGGCUAACAUCAAGUUUUUAACAAAAGUCAUCGAUUUUCCCAAAUCGUUGAAGCUAUAGCAAGUUUAUAGAAUGUUGCCCACAUAACACUUUUCAGAUGGAUCAAGUGUUAAAGGAUCAGGAAGACUUCAAAGAUCAGUCAAGAGAGGAAAGAUUGUCAGCCUCAAUGAGUGAAAAGAACGCUGGUGGCCUUCUCAUGUAAGCAUUGGAUUAUUGACCAUGAGACGGGUUCAAACUCAACAGCCACUCCCAGGGAGAAAGAGGAGCCUAACUAGCCCCUAAAAGAUAGACAGCUUUAGAAAGCAUCAGAGGACUCUGGAAGCCAGGAGAGCUACCUGCUGUGUCAAGGCUGGCCUAAGGCAUUUGCUGGACACAGAGAGGACAUCGACAGUCUUGCUCCUACCCCACCCUUUGACCUGACUUACCGAGAGUCAGCCAGGAUCCCUUAGGAGCCUCUAGGCACAGAAUGGAGUACUUAGGGAUACAGGGGACUGUGUGUUGCUGUUAAACCUGUUCAGGACUUUAAAAAGUUAAAAGGGACUGGCAGAAUCCCCAGCUCUGCCUCUAGAGCUAGGCGGAGUAAUCAGCAGCUCCUAGUGUGUUCUCACCCUGCCUCCCCCACCGUCCUCAGUCUUCAGAGCUGGCAGGUGAGCCCCUGCCGCCGCCUCCUUUGCCCCCGACCUGCUGUAGUUGUGUUGUGGCUUCCAGGGUGCGAGCCCACAGUUGCUUCCAGGGAGAGUUCCCCCUGACCACUCACACGUGUACACCUAUAACACAAGGAAAGCCAAAUGAGAAGGUUAAUUUAUUUGUGGGAAAUUAACCUCUGAACCCACGUUUCUCUUCAUUAUUGCAUACCAGGCUUGUGCAAAAAGCUCUGGAAAGGUCGGGCUUUGCCGACCUACUUGUUCUCUGUGCCAUACCACAUCCCCUCCCCUUAAGUUGCUGGCCCUGAGGAACUCAAUAAAGGUUUGGUCAAGUGAAGAA